rnacentral:rRNA from 1 species
UGCCACAGCCAUAUCACCCUGCAGCCCAAGACCGGUUACUCACUGUAAGCCUGGUCAGUACCUGGAUGGGAGACCACAUGGGAAAACUAGGUUGCUGUUGGAA